UACGAAGGGGGCUAGCGUUGCUCGGAAUCACUGGGCGUAAGGCGCACGUAGGCGGAUUGCUAAGUCAGGGGUGAAAUCCUGGAGCUCAACUCCAGAACUGCCUUUGAUACUGGCGACCUUGAGUCCGGGAGAGGUGAGCGGAACUGCGAGUGUAGAGGUGAAAUUCGUAGAUAUUCGGAAGAACACCAGUGGCGAAGGCGGCUCACUGGUCCGGUACUGACGCUGAUGUGCGAAAGCGUGGGGAGCAAACAGG
rnacentral:rRNA from 1 species